UUUUGCCAAUGUUUUGUUCGGGAAAACAAUGACAAUACGAAUAGUUUGCUUUGUUAUGCUGAAUCAAAUAUUUUUAACUCAAUCUGAUCUGUGUCCAGGAGAAAAUGGGGAAAAAUGUUGUAUUGGAUUCAAAUGGAAUGAUGCACUUAGAAAUUGUAUACCGUGUGAUGAGGGAUAUCAUGGAACUAACUGUAGAACAAAGUGCCACUUUCCUUGGUAUGGAGUAAACUGUAUGUCACAAUGUAGCUGUUCUGAGACCGACUGUAAUCAUGUUCUUGGCUGUGUAGUGUCUAAAGAAGUUGGGUCCUUGCGAUUGUGU